GACGAACGCUGGCGGCGUGCCUAAUACAUGCAAGUCGAGCGAGACUCUUCGGAGUCUAGCGGCGGACGGGUGAGUAACACGUGGGCAACCUGCCUGUAAGACUGGGAUAACACCGGGAAACCGGUGCUAAUACCGGAUAAUCCUUUCCCUCUCAUGAGGAAAAGCUGAAAGUCGGUUUCGGCUGACACUUACAGAUGGGCCCGCGGCGCAUUAGCUAGUUGGUGAGGUAACGGCUCACCAAGGCGACGAUGCGUAGCCGACCUGAGAGGGUGAUCGGCCACACUGGGACUGAGGCACGGCCCAGACUCCUACGGGAGGCAGCAGUAGGGAAUCUUCCACAAUGGACGAAAGUCUGAUGGAGCAACGCCGCGUGAGCGAUGAAGGCCUUCGGGUCGUAAAGCUCUGUUGUUAGGGAAGAACAAGUACCGGAGUAACUGCCGGCACCUUGACGGUACCUAACCAGAAAGCCACGGCUAACUACGUGCCAGCCGCCGCCGUAAUAC
rnacentral:rRNA from 1 species